UCUAGAGGAGAAACCAAUGGUACAGGGGUGAUGUACAUCACCCCAUCUUUCCAAUGAUAUGAGGAUCGCUUCAUUUGGUUAAGUUUCCAUACCUGCAACUUCCACUGGCGCUGGUGAACUCGCCGGAGAAGACGGUGGUGUACACCACCGUCUCUUUUCCAGAUUAAAUGUGAACCAUUGGAUUGUGUCUCCAGAUCUAAUCUCCAC
rnacentral:lncRNA from 1 species